rnacentral:misc_RNA from 1 species
GCAAACUUGGUCAUUUAGAGGAAGUAAAAGUCGUAACAAGGUUUCCGUAGGUGAACCUGCGGAAGGAUCAUUAUUGAAUAAACUUGAUGGAUUGUUGCUGGCUCCUAGAGCAGGUGCACGUCUGUCAUUUUUAUCUUUCCAACAUGUGCACAUGCAUAGACCUGAACACAUUUUUUGAUCAAACGCUUGCGGUUGGUCCUUGGGAAGUUGCUGCUCUUCUGUGGCUCUUUCUGUAGUUCAGGUUCUAUGAUUUUUAUAUACUCCAAUGCAUGUUAAUGAACGCUAUCAAGGGUUUUCAAAGCCCAUAAUUUUAUAAUACAACUUUCAGCAACGGAUCUCUUGGCUCUCGCAUCGAUGAAGAACGCAGC